rnacentral:rRNA from 1 species
AUGACAGGAUCCAGAGUCAAUUCAUGGGCUUUGUCGAUCGCGGGAGACGUGCCACCACCUUUGCAAAUACCACAACCGUCACGAGAGGUGCACAAACGUCCAAAUGCACAUGAUCAGGUUAAUGUAUCUAUACCACCAUUUAAUGGCCGUUUUAAACUUGCUUUAUAUAUUGAAUGGGAGUUCGACAUAAAAAAUAUAUUUGCUUCCCAUAAUUUCGAUGAACAUAAAAAGGUUAAGGUUGCGGUUGGUUCUUUCACUGGUUAUGCUUUGGUUUGGUGGAGUGAAUAUUGUCGGUUACACCCUGAUUAUAUACCUACUACUUGGGAUGAUUUGAAACUUGCCAUGCGACAUACUUUCGUCCCUGCUUAUUAUACUCGUGACAUGAUUAAGAAGUUGCAACACUUACAACAAGGUAGUGAAACUGUAACAAAAUAUUAUGAUGAUUUACAAACUACCUUGUUGCAUUCCUCUUUAGAAGAAAGUGAAGAUGAUUUUAUGGAUAGAUUUUGG